GCUCAAAUCCCAGCCCUGCCAUGGGCAAGCUAUUUAAUUCCCUGGGCCUCAGUUUUUUCAUCUGAAAAAUGGGGAUAAUAGCAUCUACCUUCUACGUUUUUUUCCCCUAAUUGGCGUAGAGAAUAUAGACUGGGAACAAAAUAAACAGCCUCAGGCACAUGUGGCACUAUACCAGAAGAUCUAACAUUUGUGUCAUUGGGGUGCUAGAAGAAGAGGAGAGAGAGUUUGGGGUUGCUAAAGUACCAGACAUAAUAGCUGAAAACUUCCAAAAUUUGACAAAAGAUAUAACCUAUAGUCAUUGUUUUAUAUACAUCAUUAAGUAUGCAUGGAUGAGUAAGAGAUUGUGUGUGUGUUUACGCUAAUGUAAGAUAAAUUCUAAAAGAAACUAAUAGUUGAUUACUCAAGUGUGAUCCUAGGAAAUUAUUUUGCAUGUCAAUACAAAAUAUUUCAAUUGUGAAUUUGAUCAAUAGUUACAUUUAUUAAUUCCAAGGAGUGAGUGGCAAUAAGAUUAGCUUUAAAAAAAGAAAAAAAAAACUUCUACACUGGAAAAAAUUAAGGAUAAAAUUACAUUUUUUAUUAAUGAUUUAAAAUUGAGACACAUGCUUUGUUGGUACCCAAAAGUAAAUGCUUCAGGUUCUCUUAUUGUGACACUGAUUAUGGCAGUUUUAAUCUUUUCCCCAAGAAUUGUUUUAAGAAAUCAAAUGCAGACAGUUCUUGUUUCUCAUGGUUCUAAAAUGCACAAAUUUCAGUUACCAUGGUUGAGUUAAGUAACACCAGUUCCAACAACAUGGUUCAAGUUUAGCUACCAUGGUAUAUUAGCUGUGAGUAAUUGCAUGAAGCCUAAACUUCAUGGCUAGCUCUUCAGUCCACAAAUCACUGAGUAACAGAUGUGUAUCAUGAUCAGCAACUAAUCACGUCACAUCUCUCAACAUUUGUCAGUGAAUGGUCACUGAGCAUCUGUUACUCGGUUCACACAUAGACAGCAAAGCAUGCAGUUGUAUUGCCUCCUUGUCUCCCAGGGAUAAACCUUUGUGACAUUUUACAAAAAUGAAUAAUUGAGAGAGGGAAUUGGCCAAAAAAAGUGAAAGUGCAGCAAAGAAGCAAAAAUGAUAACACUGAAAGUGAAUUUUGACUUUCAUGUAAAUGGAGUUAUAGAAGAAAUAGCUGAUUGUUGGAAGGGUGACAAUGUUGCCUUUGGAAAGGCUCAAUCUGUGGACAGAGGAACUUAACUAAAGGGAACUUAUCGGCAUAAAUGAGGAAAUAGUUGUGAUGAAAUGGAUGAAAAUGUCCCAGAGGAAGACACCAGCAAAAAUCUUGCCAUUAAAGGAUUUCUCACAGAUAUUUCAUGACAUUGGCAGUGUAAAGGAUAAAAUGUUAGAAGCUAAUCCAAAACUUAGAAAAGUGCUUGACGAUUAGUUGAGACAUAGAAAUUCUGGUGUCUUCCUCUGGGACAUUUUCAUCCAUUUCAUCACAACUAUUUCCUCAUUUAUGCCGAUAAGUUCCCUUUAGUUAAGUUCCUCUGUCCACAGAUUGAGCCUUUCCAAAGGCAACAUUGUCACCCUUCCAACAAUCAGCUAUUUCUUCUAU
rnacentral:lncRNA from 1 species